AAAAAAAAAUGAAAAUCGGAGCCGGUCAUGAACAGUAACUGCUACGUCAGAAUCUGGCCGUCAAAAAUUUUGUUUCGCCGUGUGAAGUCCGAAUCUGUCCGAAUUCUUGCCCAACAUCAAUCAAACCUUUAUACGUUGAAAUUAAGCAUAUACAAUCCAAAGUAGCAUACAAAGGUAAUUCAAAAGUUUAUACAUGUACGGUUUGCCAAAUCAAAAGAGAAAAAAGGACCCAAAAGUGCAUUUAGGGUUUCAAUCAAUGAGCUAUACAAAAGAUAUGUACAUCUAGCUCAAUUCGGCAACCAACUAUCAAAUCCAGUCCAAAAGUAUUUAUUGUCUUGUAAGGAAAACAAAUGGAAUAGGGUGAGCUUACGCCCAAUGAGAUACUAUCACUCAAGCAACCAAGUUCAUAUAAGCAUAAAGCUUUUCAUUUCAAAUCAUCAAAAGUAAACCAAGAGCACACAUUAAUAGAGUUGAUAAAAGGAUACGGGCGGCUCUCAAGAGCCCCUUUCCUUGCUUACAUUCUUGAUCAAACCUCAUUGACCC
rnacentral:lncRNA from 1 species